UUAGUAAAAAAAAAAAAAUAUUGAAAAUGUUAGUUUUGAACUCUUAAUAUGCCAUUUCUCUAUCCACCUAAAGAGCAUUUUGUAAUUUAUAGUGGAUCGUCAGUGUUACAGUGAUGCUGUGGUAAAUGUUUAUUCGAACAUCAACUUCAAUUAUUGUGGAAAUAAGUAUUUUUGCUUUUUAUAAAAACAUUAAUUUUUUCAAUUUUUUUGCAGAUUCUCAUUUUUAGUUAUUAAAGACACUGGAUUACUUAAAUGAACCUUUGAACAGUUUCUGCUUAUUUAGCUAUACACUGUUUUCACUUAAUUGUGUUCCAGAGAACUGAAAACCUGAAAACAAAUACCUUAUUACUUAUGUAGUAAUACUGAUGGCUCUCGUCAUCAGAGAUUCUCAGAUCAAGUACCUGAACACCUUUGUGACAGAAUUACUUGUAUUUCUAGACCAGGGUACAAGGUUCAGGAUCUUGUACCAGUUAUUAAAGAAGUUGGUCCCUACUUUAGUAAUGUUGUCCUCCAUUGUGGAACCAACAAUGUGCUACGUGAGGAUGAAGAGACCAUCACGAAGCGUAUUUUGGAAUUUGCAGAGACUUUGCAGAGUGUAAAUUCGUAUGCUACACUUAUGGUAUCUGGCAUUCUGCCAAGGAAAAGGAAUGGAUACCUCUGCAAAACAUCUAGCCAGCAUGUAGCAGGUCUGAAUUUAAUGUCAGCUUAGGAAAACAAAAUGUUGUGACAUCAACUACCAGGUACGGAGGUAGUGUACAUUGAACUUUGGGAUUUGUUUUUGCAGCCAGGAAUGAUAUCGUUUUGAUGGACUUCACGUCACAUUGUCUGUUCUUACCGAACAAAAGGUUGAUCUUUCCAUGAUGACUUCCAUAAUUUCCUGUGUGCAGCACCUUUAUCUUCCUGUAAAGACUUUCCUUCCCUGGCAGAAUCUUGUGCAGGCUAUAAGCAUUUUGCCCCACCUCAAGUCCCAAAAGUCAAACGACCUGCUUUUCAGAGUAUUUCUCAGUGUGUGAUGUCUUUGCCUAGCCAUUUUCAUUUAUUAUCUCCUGCACCUUUUGUAGUGCCCAAUUCCUUUGCCCCAGUAAAUAUUUUGCCAUCAGCUAUAGAGUCCUAUUUAAGUGAUUUUGAGACUCCUAUCUGUACCCCAUCUUCUGGACAUGUCUCCUGCACCUCAUUUUUUCCCUUCAGACAAUCAAUUGUUUCUGCCCUCAGCUCACAUUUGUUAUGGAAAUGAGGGUGCAACCUCUGUCCGCAGCCCAUCACUUUCACCUCGCUUACCAUUGCCAUCUUUUCGGCAUCCCAAUAAACUGGCAGUCAGCAGCGAUACUUCAAAAGAGAUUUCCUGCCCCUUUUGGCCACACAUCAAAACAUUUGCCCACGAAAACAAGUUCAGUGUUUUGAUGUCUGUAAAAACAGAGAAUGAAGAUGUCGGCACGUUUGUACAUAGUUUUAAGUAGUAAAAAGCGCAGCAAGAAAAGUACAUAUUGUAGUCGUAAGAUUAGUGUCAGUGCAAGAAAAGUCCAGAAACGUAUGGAUGGAAAAGGGGGGACGGAGCAUUUCAUGAUCAGAAGGGGUAUUGUUCAGUAAUUAUAAGGAAUUUACAAAGGUAUUUGAACAGUGGGUAGAUGAAAGACACCAUCCAAUGAGAGUGAACCAUUCUGUAAGAAGUCCUGGUGGUGGUGGUGAUGAUAUCCCUUACGUGCAGGUAAAAUAUGCAUGUAAACAUUUUGGUAAGGCUAGGAUUGGAGGUAAUGAUGUUCGGCCAAAUCAGAAGUAUAAUGCCAGAGGCUGCCCGGUACAUGUGAAAGUUAUUUAUAAUAAUAAGUUGAAAUUUUAUGUUGUACGUAGUUUAAUUCAUUGCCAUAAUCAUGCAACCGGCCCAGGUGUUAUACAUUAUCCUGAUAGAUUAUUAUAGGCAAUUGCCCCUUUAAUCUAACAUAUAAUGGGUACGAAGGAAUGGAGACAGUUUAUUGGGGAUGAAAGUGGAAAAAUGUUACAGUCAAAGGAUAUUCGCAAUUUACGUCAAUGGGCAAAAAAGAGUUUUUGUUGAUGGGUGCAAGCAGUCAGCUUUGUUGGUAGAUGAGCUCAUGAAACUGCAAGGGGAAAUUGGCUGUUCAGUUCAUGUAGAAACUGAUGAAAAUGAUGAACUACGUACUUUUUCUUGUCAUGCAGACUAGUUGUAUGAAAAAAUUUAGCGAGUAAGUACAGUAAUGUGUUGAUGAUAGAUGAUUUAAGGAAUAUUUUAUGAUGCAUGAUAUUUUGUUAUAGUAUAUAUAUUUUUGUAUUUACAGUAUGAACGUGUGGAAGUUAUUAGAAAAAGUUGCAACUGUGGUAUUUGCUGUUGAGAGUCAUGCUGGCAUAAUUCUUAUCUUGGAGGGUGUGUGUUCUAGCAGUGACUUAGUUUUUGAGGUGAUGUGGACGAAGCUCUGUGAUGUGAUGGCAGUGGUGUGGCCUGUGAUACCGCUCUCCAGCCCAAUUAUCCUUAUUUAAUGUUGCACAAAUUGUGGAUGAUGAGUAAAGGAAAAUAAUUGUAAGUUUGGUUGAUUCUAUUCGGAGAGCUCUAAAUGUUAACUGUUGCCGUGCUGUGUCCUCUUUGUUAAUUAUUUUGCAUGUGAGCUGUAUCAAGUAAAGUUUGUGGACACACGUCAUUUGUUGAAUAAUGUUUGGCUUCUUUACAGAGCAUAUUAAAGUUGUCAUAAAUGAA